rnacentral:lncRNA from 1 species
GAAUGGUUGAACUAGGUGCUAUAUCUAACAAACUCACAAAUAUAAAACUGUUCGCAACAUGACUGGCAUCCGCUCCUCUCUUCGCUGCCAAAGAAACAGUUCUUCUCUGGGGUAAUAUUAAGUUGAGGAGGAAACACCUCCCAUCUGGAGCCUUUCCAACAAGUUUUCCAAGGGCGAGCGCCAUGCUUCUGGGCAUCAAGUGGUGAACUCCUCCAAGUGGUACGGCUGUGGAAGCAGACGGGCAAAUCAAUCAACAUCUAUCCACCUGCCAUUAGCUGAGAAUGAGUCACGUGACCUCAGAUAGGAAAAGAGAUUGUCACAACAAAGAAAUCAUGACCUCUGCUCCACAAAUAAGCCUGCUGAUUGAAGACUGCCCACCUCCGCUUCUUCCCUGACUCUGGCUACAUCAACUCCUAUUGUAAGAAACAAGCAUGCCCUGCUCUGUGACUACCCCUGUAGUUACAGGCAGCUGUACCCUCUGCUUUGGAAGGCAUCGUCUUUAUAAUUUCAUUCGUGUCUUUCACUAAAAAAGAUUUAUCAUCG